rnacentral:rRNA from 1 species
CAAUAGCGUAUAUUAAAGUUGUUGCGGUUAAAAAGCUCGUAGUUGGAUUUCUGCUGAGAACGACCGGUCCGCCCUUUGGGUGUGUAUCUGGCUCUUUCUUGGCAUCUUCUUGGUGAACGUUGCUGCACUUGACUGUGUGGAGCGCUACCCAGGACUUUUACUCUGAGGAAAUUAGAGUGUUUCAAGCAGGCAUACGCCUUGAAUACAUUAGCAUGGAAUAAUAAGAUAGGACCUCGGUUCUAUUUUGUUGGUUUCUAGAGCUGAGGUAAUGAUUAAUAGGGAUAGUUGGGGGCAUUCGUAUUUAACUGUCAGAGGUGAAAUUCUUGGAUUUGUUAAAGACGGACUACUGCAAAAGCAUUUGCCAAGGAUGUUUUCAUUGA